CUUGGAUGUUGCCGUGUCAAUACGGCUCGUCUCAAAUGCCUGAGUGUACCUUGCUUUUGCAGUGUAUCCGGUGUAAUAAACAUUUCACCAGAGCCAGGUUGCAAGACCACAUUGUCUAGUGAGCUCUAUGCUUCAAACCGUCCUCGGACAAUCUCUGACAAUUUGACCUCAAAUCGGGUGGGACUACCCGCUGAACUUAA
rnacentral:misc_RNA from 1 species